UACGUAGGGCGCAAGCGUUGUCCGGAAUUAUUGGGCGUAAAGAGCUCGUAGGCGGCUUGUUGCGUCGGUUGUGAAAGCCCGGGGCUUAACCCCGGGUCUGCAGUCGAUACGGGCAGGCUAGAGUGUGGUAGGGGAGAUCGGAAUUCCUGGUGUAGCGGUGAAAUGCGCAGAUAUCAGGAGGAACACCGGUGGCGAAGGCGGUUCUCUGGGCAUUACCUGACGCUGAGGAGCGAAAGCAUGGGGAGCGAACAGG
rnacentral:rRNA from 1 species